UUAAAUUGAAAAUGGCAACUACAUUUUCGUUUUUAUUGCUAGAUAUUGUCAACUAUACCGGAUGAACUUAUCUCUGGGAUUGACGGAGGGGUUGAUACUGCCUUUGCCAGUAAUUCUGAAACAAAUAACUUAGCCUCAUCAUGCACUGCGGUCCAAUCAGAAACUUCCGUUGGAAUUCCAUCCUUCAUUGUAGAAGAAGUUGACGUUCCGGAAGAAGCUCCAAGUGUACAUGUGUCCGGGCCUUCCACCGACACAUUCUUAGCUUCAACUCUGUAUGGAUCUAAACGUAAAG